rfam:Schistosoma rodhaini strain Burundi genome assembly, scaffold: SROB_scaffold0000038
AUCCAGCUGAAGAAUCCCAAACAUGACGAAACGCGCAUCAAACUGGAU